GCUUACGGCCAUACCACCCUGAACACGCCCGAUCUCGUCCGAUCUCGGAAGCUAAGCAGGGUCGGCCUGGUUAGUACUUGGAUGGGAGACCGCCUGGGAAUACCAGUGCUGUAAGCU
rnacentral:rRNA from 1 species